GACGAACGCUGGCGGCGUGCUUAACACAUGCAAGUCGAACGGAAAGGCCCUGCUUGCAGGGUACUCGAGUGGCGAACGGGUGAGUAACACGUGGGUGAUCUGCCCUGCACUUCGGGAUAAGCCUGGGAAACUGGGUCUAAUACCGGAUAGGAGCCAUUCUUAGUGUGAUGGUUGGAAAGUUUUUUCGGUGUAGGAUGAGCUCGCGGCCUAUCAGCUUGUUGGUGGGGUAAUGGCCUACCAAGGCGGCGACGGGUAGCCGGCCUGAGAGGGUGGACGGCCACAUUGGGACUGAGAUACGGCCCAGGCUCCUACGGGAGGCAGCAGGGGGGAAUAUUGCACAAUGGGCGCAAGCCUGAUGCAGCGAAGCCGCGUGGGGGAUGACGGCCUUCGGGUUGUAAACUCCUUUCGCUAGGGACGAAGCUUUUUGUGACGGUACCUAGAUAAGAAGCACCGGCUAACUACGUG
rnacentral:rRNA from 1 species